GCGGGUAUAGCAUAGUGGUAAUGCAGAAGCCUUCCAAGCUUAGGAUGAGAGUUCGAUUCUCUCUGCCCGCUCCA
rnacentral:tRNA from 2 species